rnacentral:rRNA from 1 species
ACUACGGGAGGCAGCAGUGAGGAAUAUUGGUCAAUGGGCGAGAGCCUGAACCAGCCAAGUAGCGUGAAGGAUGACGGCCCUAUGGGUUGUAAACUUCUUUUAUAGGGGAAUAAAAUGCAGUAUGUAUACUGCUUUGCAUGUACCUUAUGAAUAAGGAUCGGCUAACUCCGUGCCAGCAGCCGCGGUAAUACGGAGGAUCCGAGCGUUAUCCGGAUUUAUUGGGGUUAAAGGGAGCGUAGGCGGGUUGUUAAGUCAGUGGUGAAAGUUUGCGGCUCAACCGGCAACUUGCAGUUGAUACUGGCAUCCUUGAGUACAGUAGAGGUAGGCGGAAUUCGUGGUGUAGCGGUGAAAUGCUUAGAUAUCACGCAGAACUCCGAUUGCGAAGGCAGCCUGCUGGACUGUAACUGCCGCUGAUGCUCGAAAGUGUGGGUAUCAAACAGGAUUAGAUACCCUUGUAGUC